ACAUGCAAGUCGAACGAAGAAAUACCUUCGGGUAAAGUAAGAGUGGCGAACGGGUGAGUAACGCGUGGAUAAUCUGCCCUUCAGUGAGGGAUAACUUAUCGAAAGGUGAGCUAAUACCUUAUAAGACCACAAUGCGUAAAGCAUAGAGGUCAAAGAUUUAUCGCUGAUGGAUGAGUCUGCGUCCGAUUAGCUUGAUGGUGGGGUAAAGGCCUACCAUGGCUGUGAUCGGUAGCUGGUCUGAGAGGAUGAGCAGCCACACUGGAACUGAGACACGGUCCAGACUUCUACGGAAGGCAGCAGUAGGGAAUAUUGGUCAAUGGGGGAAACCCUGAACCAGCGACGUCGCGUGUGUGAUGAAGGCCCUAGGGUCGUAAAACACUGUGGUGCGAGACGAUUAUGACGGUAUCGCACUAGAAAGGACCGGCCAACUUCGUGCCAGCAGCCGCGGUAAGACGAGGGGUCCUAGCGUUGUUCGGAAUUACUGGGCAUAAAGCGGAUGUAGGUGGGUGUUCAAGUCAGAUGUGAAAUCCCAGAGCUAAACUCUGGAACUGCAUUUGAUACUGUUCAUCUUGAGUGUUUGAGGGGUUAGCAGAAUUCCUGAUGUAGUGGUGAAAUACGUAGAUAUCAGGAGGAAUACCAGUGGCGAAGGCGGCUAACUGGCGAAUUACUGACACUGAGAUCCGAAAGCGUGGGGAGCAAACAGGAUUAGAUACCCUGGUAGUCCACGCCGUAAACUAUGAACACUUGGUGUUGGGGAUAUUGACCUCCUCAGUGCCGUAGCUAAUGCGUUAAGUGUUCCGCCUGGGGAGUACGGUCGCAAGAUUAAAACUCAAAGAAAUUGACGGGGGCCCGCACAAGCGGUGGAGCACGUGGUUUAAUUCGAUGCAACGCGAAGAACCUUACCUAGACUUAACAUCCCAGUGACAGCUGUAGAGAUACGGUUUUCCUUCGGGACAGUGGUGAUAGGUGCUGCAUGGCUGUCGUCAGCUCGUGUCGUGAGAUGUUGGGUUAAGUCCCGCAACGAGCGCAACCCUUGCCUUUAGUUGCCAGCAUUUAGUUGGGCACUCAAAAGGGACUGCCGACGUUAAGUCGGAGGAAGGUGGGGAUGACGUCAAGUCCUCAUGGCCUUUAUGUCUAGGGCUACACACGUGCUACAAUGGUCGAUACAAAGGGCAUGCAAAACUGCAAGGUCAAGCUAAUCCCAAAAAAUCGAUCUAAGUUCGGAUUGGAGUCUGCAACUCGACUCCAUGAAGUCGGAAUCGCUAGUAAUCGCAUAACAGCAUGAUGCGGUGAAUACGUUCCCGGGCCUUGUACACACCGCCCGUCACACCAUGAAAGCUGGUGGGACCAGACGUCGUUUUCGCUAACCUUUUAGGAGGCGGACGCCCAA
rnacentral:rRNA from 1 species